AGUCAACAUGCCCAAAGGACGUGGAUAACCUCGGGAAACUGGGGAUAAACCAUGAUAGGCCAAGGUUUCUGGAAUGAGCCAUGGCCGAAAUCUAUAUGGCCUUUGGAUUGGACUGCGGCCGAUCAGGCUGUUGGUGAGGUAAUGGCCCACCAAACCUGUAACCGGUACGGGCUUUGAGAGAAGGAGCCCGGAGAUGGGCACUGAGACAAGGGCCCAGGCCCUAUGGGGCGCAGCAGGCGCGAAACCUCUGCAAUAGGCGAAAGCUUGACAGGGUUACUCUGAGUGAUGCCCGCUAAGGGUAUCUUUUGGCACCUCUAAAAUGGUGCAGAAUAAGGGGUGGGCAAGUCUGGUGUCAGCCGCCGCGGUAAUACCAGCACCCCGAGUUGUCGGGACGAUUAUUGGGCCUAAAGCAUCCGUAGCCUGUUCUGCAAGUCCUCCGUUAAAUCCACCUGCUCAACGGAUGGGCUGCGGAGGAUACCGCAGAGCUAGGAGGCGGGAGAGGCAAACGGUACUCAGUGGGUAGGGGUAAAAUCCAUUGAUCUACUGAAGACCACCAGUGGCGAAGGCGGUUUGCCAGAACGCGCUCGACGGUGAGGGAUGAAAGCUGGGGGAGCAAACCGGAUUAGAUACCCGGGUAGUCCCAGCUGUAAACGAUGCAGACUCGGUGAUGGGUUGGCUUCGAGCCAACCCAGUGCCGCAGGGAAGCCGUUAAGUCUGCCGCCUGGGGAGUACGGUCGCAAGACUGAAACUUAAA
rnacentral:rRNA from 1 species